rnacentral:rRNA from 1 species
GUGGGGAAUUUUGGACAAUGGGCGCAAGCCUGAUCCAGCCAUUCCGCGUGCAGGAUGAAGGCCUUCGGGUUGUAAACUGCUUUUGUACGGAACGAAAAGCCUCUGGUUAAUACCCGGGGAUCAUGACGGUACCGUAAGAAUAAGCACCGGCUAACUACGUGCCAGCAGCCGCGGUAAUACGUAGGGUGCGAGCGUUAAUCGGAAUUACUGGGCGUAAAGCGUGCGCAGGCGGUGAUGUAAGACAGUUGUGAAAUCCCCGGGCUCAACCUGGGAACUGCAUCUGUGACUGCAUUGCUGGAGUGCGGCAGAGGGGGAUGGAAUUCCGCGUGUAGCAGUGAAAUGCGUAGAUAUGCGGAGGAACACCAGUGGCGAAGGCAAUCCCCUGGGCCUGCACUGACGCUCAUGCACGAAAGCGUGGGGAGCAAACAGGAUUAGAUACCCCGGUAGUCC